CAGUCGCCGCGGUAAUACGAGGGGGGCAAGCGUUGUUCGGAAUUAUUGGGCGUAAAGGGUGCGUAGGCGGCUUGGCAAGUCUUGUGUGAAAUCUAUGGGCUCAACCCAUAGUCUGCACGGGAAACUGUCGGGCUUGAGAAUGGGAGAGGUGAGUGGAAUUUCCGGUGUAGCGGUGAAAUGCGUAGAUAUCGGAAGGAACACCUGUGGCGAAAGCGGCUCACUGGACCAUUUCUGACGCUGAUGCACGAAAGCUAGGGGAGCAAACAGGAUUAGAUACCCCAGUAGUCCCUGUCUCUUAUAC
rnacentral:rRNA from 1 species